UAUUUUAUUUAUUAGCACAGAUUUAUUUACUUAUUUAGUUUUUUUUAGUAUGUGGAAGUUCAAGUCUAAAGGCUCUAUAUUUUCCGGAGGCGGAUUUAUUUCCUUCAAUAGGCUUUCUCAUUUAAUACUUGUUUCAUACUUUACCUUUCUUACACAAUUAAAAUUAUCUUCUCCUAUAAGUAUACUGACUCUCAUGAUCCAUUCAAAACGACUAGCGUUAAAGGAUUUAAACAUUUGUUUCCCUGUUUUCCCCGAAUUAUACCUUUCUUAUACAAUUAAACUUAUCUAUUUUGUUGUAAUCUAGAAUUUUACAUGUACUGUAUAUGUAUACCCAUAAGUACAUUGACUUGAGAUUCAGUUCAUGAGCCAUUCAAAACGACCACGACCAGCGUCAAAGGCUGUGAGGAAGAUGGCGCAAAUGUUGCUACGAAGGGAUCUAU
rnacentral:sRNA from 1 species